GACGAACGCUGGCGGCGUGCUUAACACAUGCAAGUCGAACGGAAAGGCCUGCUUUCCCUUGUGGAUUGCGGGUACUCGAGUGGCGAACGGGUGAGUAACACGUGAGUGAUCUGCCCCCAACUUGGGUAUAAGCCUGGGAAACUGGGUCUAAUUCCCGAUAGGACUGCAGGGUGGUGCCUGUGGUGGAAAACGAUUUUCUAGUGGUUGGGGAUGAGCUCGCGGCCUAUCAGCUUGUUGGUGGGGUAAUGGCCUACCAAGGCGGCGACGGGUAGCCGGCCUGAGAGGGUGGACGGGCACAGUGGGACUGAGAUACGGCCCAGACUCCUACGGGAGGCAGCAGUGGGGAAUAUGAGACAAUGGGCGGAAGCCUGAUGCAGCGACGCCGCGUGGGGGAUGACGGCCUUCGGGUUGUAAACUCCUUUCGACCGCGAGGAAGCCACCUGGUUGGAAGGGUGGUGACGGUAGUGGUAGAAGAAGCACCGGCUAACUACGUG
rnacentral:rRNA from 1 species